GCGGAUGAUUAUACAUUUUUAACCCCGAGAUCUUCAAUGAAGAUUAAACCGCAACAACAACACUCUAAUUUUUUCAUGACG
rfam:Aureobasidium pullulans var. pullulans EXF-150 unplaced genomic scaffold scaffold_15, whole genome shotgun sequence.